AGGACGAACGCUGGCGGCGUGCUUAACACAUGCAAGUCAUGGGGGUCCGCAAGGACAACCGGCGAACGGGUGCGUAACACGUGAGCAACCUACCGAUUUGUGGGGGAUAGCCGGCCUAACGGCAGAGUAAUACCGCAUACGCUCUUUGGGCUUCAUGGCCUAUUGAGGAAACCUCCGGGGCAAAUCGAGGGGCUCGCGGCCUAUCAGCUAGUUGGCGAGGUCACGGCUCACCAAGGCGACGACGGGUAGCUGGUCUGAGAGGAUGGCCAGCCACAUUGGGACUGAGAAACGGCCCAGACUCCUACGGGAGGCAGCAGUGGGGAAUCUUGCGCAAUGGACGAAAGUCUGACGCAGCGACGCCGCGUGGGGGAUGACGGUUUCGGCUUGUAAACCCCUGUUGCCCGGGACGAACGCCUUUUCGAGAGGCUUGACGGUACCGGGUGAGGAAGCACCGGCUAACUCCGUGCCAGCAGCCGC
rnacentral:rRNA from 1 species